rnacentral:rRNA from 1 species
UAGUCCACGCCGUAAACGAUGAGAACUAGCCGUUGGGGCCCUUGAGGCUUUAGUGGCGCAGCUAACGCGAUAAGUUCUCCGCCUGGGGAGUACGGCCGCAAGGCUAAAACUCAAAUGAAUUGACGGGGGCCCGCACAAGCGGUGGAGCAUGUUGUUUAAUUCGAUGCAACGCGAAGAACCUUACCACCCCUUGACAUCCUGCGAACUUUCUAGAGAUAGAUUGGUGCCUUCGGGAACGCAGUGACAGGUGCUGCAUGGCUGUCGUCAGCUCGUGUCGUGGGAUGUUGGGUUAAGUCCCGUAACGAGCGCAACCCUUGUCCUUAUUUGCCAGCACAUUAUGGUGGGAACUCUAAGGAGACUGCCGGUGACAAACCGGAGGAAGGUGGGGACGACGUCAAGUCAUCAUGGCCCUCACGGGGUGGGCUACAAACGUGCUACAAUGGUCGGUACAAAGGGCUGCAAACCAGCGAUGGUAAGCGAAUCCCAUAAAGCCGAUCGUAGUCCGGA